rnacentral:rRNA from 1 species
CACGUAGGGUGCGAGCGUUGUCCGGAAUUAUUGGGCGUAAAGAGCUCGUAGGCGGUCCGUCACGUCGGAUGUGAAAUUCCAGGGCUCAACCCUGGACCUGCAUUCGAUACGGGCGGACUAGAGUUCGGUAGGGGAGACUGGAAUUCCUGGUGUAGCGGUGAAAUGCGUAGAUAUCGGGAGGAACACCAGUGGCGAAGGCGGUUACCUGGAGCUUUGCUGACGCUGAUGCGCGAAAGCGUGGGGAGCGAUCCGG